GGGUACUGCGGAGGUCAUUAAUGAAUGAAAUUGAGUGGGGUUGUAGCUGGCCUUUCACCGGGCAUGUGCACACCUCAUUCGACCACCUUCUACACCCCUGUGCACUUCUCAUGAGUUGGGCCGCGUCUGAAACACGACAAAGUCCGGCUCGUGUGUUUUAUACAAACGAAUCAUGUUACAGAAUGUCACUACCAUGCUUUGAAGCAUAUAAUACAACUUUCAACAACGGAUCUCUUGGCUCUCGCAUCGAUGAAGAACGCAGCGAAAUGCGAUAAGUAAUGUGAAUUGCAGAAUUCAGUGAAUCAUCGAAUCUUUGAACGCACCUUGCGCUCCUUGGUAUUCCGAGGAGCAUGCUUGUUUGAGUGUCAUGGUCUUCUCAACCCUUCCGUCUUUUUCACCGGAGACUGUCGGGCUUGGAUGUGGAGGUCUUGCAGGCAUCUGGAUCUUUUGAUUCAGAAGUCGGCUCCUCUGAAAUGCAUUAGCUUGAAUAGUACCAAGCAUGAUUCAGCGUGAUAAUUGUCUACGUUGCUUCGUCUCGGUGAAUUAAAUGUUCAAGCUUCUAACCGUCCCUUGGGACAAUCUCUGAACAUCUGACCUCAAAUCAAGUAGGACUACCCGCUGAACUUAAGCAUAUCAAUAAAGCGGAAGAAAAAUUUU
rnacentral:rRNA from 1 species